UGGGGAAUUUUGGACAAUGGGCGAAAGCCUGAUCCAGCAAUGCCGCGUGUGUGAAGAAGGCCUUCGGGUUGUAAAGCACUUUUGUCCGGAAAGAAAUCCUUGGCUCUAAUACAGUCGGGGGAUGACGGUACCGGAAGAAUAAGCACCGGCUAACUACGUGCCAGCAGCCGCGGUAAUACGUAGGGUGCAAGCGUUAAUCGGAAUUACUGGGCGUAAAGCGUGCGCAGGCGGUUUGCUAAGACCGACGUGAAAUCCCCGGGCUCAGCCUGGGAACUGCAUUGGUGACUGGCAGGCUAGAGUAUGGCAGAGGGGGGUAGAAUUCCACGUGUAGCAGUGAAAUGCGUAGAGAUGUGGAGGAAUACCGAUGGCGAAGGCAGCCCCCUGGGCCAAUACUGGCGCUCAUGCACGAAAGCGUGGGGAGCAAACAGGAUUAGAUACCCUGGUAGUCCACGCCCUAAACGAUGUCAACUAGUUGUUGGGGAUUCAUUUCCUUAGUAACGUAGCUAACGCGUGAAGUUGACCGCCUGGGGAGUACGGUCGCAAGAUUAAAACUCAAAUGAAUUGACGGGGUCAUAGCUGUUUCCU
rnacentral:rRNA from 1 species